CCCGAGCCCGCCUUGUUGAUCGGCUCAGAGCCGGGUCCAGCCAGUCGGCUACAAAGUGACGGCUAGCCGGCUUACGCUAGCCGUUGCACAGCGCUAGACCGAUUAGACCGCCACUCUGGGCCAUGAAAGUGUAUCAGCACAGAGCAGUGGUCGCGGGUAUUAACUGGCCACAUUCAACUAUCUGGCUACUUUGCUCUCGACUAGCGGUCGGUUAACUGCGGCCUUAGUCGGCGCUGGUGGGAAUCGAACCAUCCGCCAAUAAACAGCAUAAAAUCGAUAUGAAAACGGAAAUAAUUGGAUAAAACUGGUCAUCCGGACCCGAACCCGG
rnacentral:lncRNA from 1 species